UACAGAGGUCCCAAGCGUUGUUCGGAUUCACUGGGCGUAAAGGGUGCGUAGGUGGUGAGGUAAGUCGGAUGUGAAAGCUCGGAGCUCAACUCCGAAAUGGCAUUGGAAACUACCUUGCUCGAGGGUUGGAGGGGGGACUGGAAUGCUUGGUGUAGCAGUGAAAUGCGUAGAUAUCAGGAGGAAUACCGAUGGCGAAGGCAGGUCUCUGGGCUGACACUGACGCUCAUGCACGAAAGCAUGGGGAGCAAACAGG
rnacentral:rRNA from 1 species